rnacentral:lncRNA from 13 species
GGCCCUUGCUGGUGAGGCAAGCAUUCCCUGAGUCCCCUGCAUCCCACAGGAUGGUGAACAUGCUGAAGAUGGCAGUGUCCUCAGUGAAGAAGGAAUGAAAGCUGCCUGCCGUCGCCCUGGAGCUGCUCUACCUGGCACUCAAGGAAGACAAGUUUCUGCAGUUCUGGAAGGGGAUGGUGGAACAGGGGCUGCUGAAGCUUCAGUUCUGGCCAGCCAGUCCCUCUUAGCUACCUGUGUUUCUGCCUGCUGGGCACCGCCCUUCCCCUGCUGACCAAGGAACAGCUGCAGCUGGUGAUGCAGGGAGACGUGAUCCGCCAUUACAUGGAGCACAUGUGCACGGCCAAGGUGGGCACCGCCUGUGCAGCCCGAUGCUGCUGGAAGGGCUAGGGAGGUGCUCUCCUUGCCAAGAAGGGGAGAGGGCACCUCAGGAGCCUGGCCAGAGACCUGGGUGUCUCCACUGUCUGGGUAGUGAGCUGCCUGAACACCUUCCCCUCUGACAUUGUUUUGAGUUGGAGUUUUCUCUUGUCACCCAGGCUGGAGGGCAAUGAUGCAUUCUCUGCUCACUACAAUCUCUACCUCCCGGGUUCAAGCAAUUAUCGUGCCUCAGCCUCCUGAGUAGCUGCGAUUACAGGUGCCCACCUCCACACCCAGCUAAUUUUUGUAUUUUCAGUAGAGACAGGGUUUUGCCAUGUUGGCCAGGCUGGUCUCAAACUCCUGACUUCAGGUGAUCCACCCGCCUUGGCCUCCCAAAGUGCUGGGAUUACAGAUGUGAGCCACUGCGCCCGGCUUCCCUCUGACAGUUUUGAAAAGGAGCGGGCCCCCACUUAGGUGUGGGUAGCCAGCGGGCUGUUCAGACCACCCUCCACCCCUGCCCAUGUUGCGGUGAUGAGAACAGUCGUCAUGACCAUGUUUGAGCACCGGUGUGCCCGGUGCCCAGUCAGCGCUGCUGGGUUUACUGUUCUCGGCAGCUCAUUUUAUCUUUGCAGCAAGUUUCCAAGAGCUGUCAUUCUGGGUGAGGGGCAGACUUGAAGCAUCAGGCAGUGGUUAAGAGCCUGGGUUGGGCGGUGGUGUGCACCUGUAGUCCCAGUUACUCAGGAGGCUGAGGUGGGAGGAUCACGUGAACCCAGGAUUUCGAGGCUGCAGUGAGCCAUGAUAGUGGCACUGCACUCCCGGGGCACAACUGGAGAAAAUUAAAAUGAGAAGAGCUUGGGCUGUGAGGCCAGACGUGGUCCCACUGGGAGCCCUCUGACCCUGAGGAAUUUUAUUCUAGG